rnacentral:ncRNA from 1 species
UCUUAUUCAGAGCGGUGGAGGGACUUGGCCCUACGAAACCCGGCAACCUUCAAGAUUAAUCUUGAAAAGGUGCUAAUUCCAUCAGGUACAAAUACCUGAGAGAUAAGA